CACUUGAAAUUUUCUUGACAUGAUAUAAAAUCUUUGGAGCACUAUUUAAUUUAAUUAAAAAUGGCCUUUCCCAAGUUAUUGGUUGUCGUUUCUGCUCUCCUACUUAUCCAGGUCGCUGCAACUAUUACGUACUACCUCGCAUCUGCAGAGAGGUAUUAUAAGGAACAAAUAUAUCAAUUCGAAGAGGAAUUUCACAAAUUAGCUCAUGAUGUUUAUCCAACGUGCAUCGUUCCUAAUGCUGAGAUUUACAGAGAAAAAUCAAUCAAACGUCUUCACAAUCUUGUUGCUUGUAUUAGGUCUUGAACUGAAAUUAGUGAGAUAUUGUAUCUUCAUUAUAAUCUUUCCAAAAAGUGGAUCUAGUUGGUCAGUGAAAUAUAUAGCAUCUUGAUUAAGAAAUAGAUUUAUAUUCUGAAUAACAUAUACAUUUUUCAAAUAGUGAUAAGUACUUUGAAUACAUUUAUGAAACAUCUA
rnacentral:misc_RNA from 1 species